rnacentral:rRNA from 1 species
GGUAAUACGUAGGGCGCGAGCGUUGUCCGGAAUUAUUGGGCGUAAAGGGCUUGUAGGCGGUUGGUCGCGUCUGCCGUGAAAUUCUCUGGCUUAACUGGGGGCGUGCGGUGGGUACGGGCUGACUUGAGUGCGGUAGGGGAGACUGGAACUCCUGGUGUAGCGGUGGAAUGCGCAGAUAUCAGGAAGAACACCGGUGGCGAAGGCGGGUCUCUGGGCCGUUACUGACGCUGAGGAGCGAAAGCGUGGGGAGCGAACAGGAUUAGAUACCCUGGUAGUCCACGCUGUAAACGUUGGGCACUAGGUGUGGGGGCCACCCGUGGUUUCUGCGCCGUAGCUAACGCUUUAAGUGCCCCGCCUGGGGAGUACGGCCGCAAGGCUAAAACUCAAAGGAAUUGACGGGGGCCCGCACAAGCGGCGGAGCAUGCGGAUUAAUUCGAUGCAACGCGAAGAACCUUACCAAGGCUUGACAUGC